rnacentral:rRNA from 1 species
GGAGCUUUCCAUGCAGUCGAACGGCAGCGCGAGAGAGCUUGCUCUCUUGGCGGCGAGUGGCGGACGGGUGAGUAAUAUAUCGGAACGUGCCCAGAUAGCGGGGGAUAACUACUCGAAAGAGUGGCUAAUACCGCAUACGCCCUACGGGGGAAAGGGGGGGAUCGCAAGACCUCUCACUAUUGGAGCGGCCGAUAUCGGAUUAGCUAGUUGGUGGGGUAAAGGCUCACCAAGGCAACGAUCCGUAGCUGGUUUGAGAGGACGACCAGCCACACUGGGACUGAGACACGGCCCAGACUCCUACGGGAGGCAGCAGUGGGGAAUUUUGGACAAUGGGGGAAACCCUGAUCCAGCCAUCCCGCGUGUAUGAUGAAGGCCUUCGGGUUGUAAAGUACUUUUGGCA